rnacentral:lncRNA from 1 species
CUUUUUGAAUAGCUCGUUAAAAUCUGUUACACCAACCGAGGUAGGAAUUAGGACAAGUAUCUUUCAAAAAUAUGCAAGUACGUCAAAAGAAAAAUAUCUUUGAGAAAGCUACAAAAUGACUUAUUAUCUAAAAUGCGGCCGUUAUGUCUUGGGAACGAAAACAGACCAUCUUCCCCAGCUCAGAAUUCUUAGUAUCCUGAAAUUCAGACAAACUCAUUUAAGUACACGUCCUUGUUUGGGAUAUCGGUUACCAGUCUCGUCUAGGGAUGACGAGGGUUCCUGAGCCGGAGAUAAUGGUUACCCUUCAAUAAGUGGGUACGAGGCUUCCACUUUGGGCGUACCACAGUAUAUACGUGCAACAAAUCCGAUGUGCUGAAGGGAAGCUCCUACUGGUGCAUCAGUGUGUCCACCGUGAACACGAUCCGAAAAAAAUUCAUCGAUACUUGCAUGAAGGUGAGGUGGUAGCGCGCUAUCACUUCCUUUAGCAUUGGGCUAAAAGAAAAUCAAAGCCCAGCCUAGUGGAUCAGCCAGAUUCGAUUUGGGAUUUGGUUCUCAUUGCCCUCAACCAAAUUGGUAUCCUCAUUGGGACCAGACCUCUCUAUCUGAACGUCAUCGAGGAAUGCCGUGAUCGGCCUAAAAUUUGUUCAAGGUAGCAUCGUUGUGCAUCAGCACCUGAGCUCGAUUCAACUCCAUGUUCUGAAAACAGAAACAUACGAUAAGAAUGAGCUCAACCAAACAAUCAUGAUGAGCUUUUGGGUGCAAAGUUAGCCGAGCUAUUUAUGAGUACCGAGCUUUGCCCAACGAGGUUUAGCAUUUGGGAACAGUGUUAGCCGAGCUCUACGAAAGCUCCGAGCUCCACCCCCACGAGGUUUAGCUAUCUCAGCAACAAGAGGGCCUGAAGGGGCAAAACCCUAAACCAAUAUCAAAGUAAUUUCCAAAAAGUAAACACUACGUGACAGCUCAGAUUUGUUUUAUCAGGGAAAACGAGUCAAGGACAACCCAGUUCACAGAACUUAGAGAAGCCUGUAAUUUUGAAAAUGGCGGAUGGGCCAAAACCAGAAGUUCAAGACAAGCCGCGACCAAAACAUCAAAGCAAAUCAAAAGCAAUCUCAGGAAUGUCAUAAUACAGAUACAGUAAAAAACAUAUUAAAAUGAAGUCAUGCAUGCGGCAGUGCACAAGAAAUUGCAAAGAAACUACUUAGAUAGACGACAAGGAAAACUCACAGAUUAGGUCUAUAGAAAAGCGAAAGAUGGAGAUCUGAUCGACGGAAGGACGAUAAACUAAGCAAGAGAUGUAAUCGACGGAGAAAGGGGAAAUCGGACGACAAUAAUCCGGGGGCUCGCACUUUCUAUCUCUAAAGUGCUCUCAAAAAAUGAAAACGAACAAUGACCCAAAAAGCAAACAAACCUCUAUAGGAAGGUGGAAAGGAGGGAAAAUGCCCUCAAACGCGCCCUUAGAGACUUGUCAUUUCGCGAGCAAAACCCCCUGAACCAACGAAGGGCGAACACGUGACAGUCACCCUACCACGCGUUCAAACCAAACGACCCCUUAGAAUAGGUGCAACCCUUUUGCAUCUGUGCCCGAACCAAGCUCAAAAAGCACGAGACCACGACUCGUGGCACACCAGUGGGGAGACUUGACAAGGCCGUACAAUAAUGGACAGCUAGCAGGCACUGGUUGCCCUGCCCAACCGAGCUCACCCGUCAGACGAUGCACGUAUCCAGCGCACAUGACCUCAAUUAGCAUUGACCAAACUCAUACGAACUGAUGGACAAUUAUAAAAGGAUAAAAUACACGACUACAACUUGUACUAAGGCGAGCACCACCACUAUGUUGUCACUACGUAACAAGCUCAAUGGAGUCUCUAUGCUUGAGCUUGGUUGGGACACUACCAAACAUUACUGUCCGAGCCAAGGCAACCAUCACUAUCGGGUUGUUGCUCUAUAGCAAGCUUGAUAGGGUCACCACGCCGAAGCUUGGUCGAGUAACAACGAUUGACGGCGAUCCCGAGGCACAUCAGGGGGACAAAAGGUAACUUGUUUGGCAAGGUUUCUUUUGACAGCCCCAAAGCCUAGAUGGAGACGUCGACGACAUAAUGACCAGUUACCAACCAGACUCUAAAGGCAUGAUUGGGUCAACCGCCUACUCACUGACACAACAGUCAGCGCGUCUAGGCAGGCGGUGAACUGAGUUAUAUAAGGUCAACCCUUAUUUUCUCAAAUGUAUGCAAACUGAGCUACUCAAAGCUUCUGCUCUCUCUCUAUAUAUAUAUACAUAUACUUUGAUUAUCUGGCUAUCUAACUUGACAGUCGGAAAGCCGUUUUUCAAAAACAGUUCUGGCAGCCGAACUCACUGUUUCUAUGUCACAGCAACCAGCAGCCACCUUCUGCCACUAUUGGCUUAUCGCAUGUAUCUAUUCUCGAUUUCUUUCCUUACAUCUCAUAAACACCACCCCCCACAGAAAUGAUUCGAUAAUUGAUGAUUGAAUGUGAGAAAAUU